rnacentral:rRNA from 1 species
UAAUACGUAGGGGGCAAGCUUAUCCGGAAUUAUUGGGCGUAAAGAGUGCGUAGGUGGUUACGUAAGCGCAAGGUUUAAUUUGAGGCUCAACCUCAUUCUGCCUUGCGAACUGGGCUACUUGAGUGCUGGAGGGGAAAGCGAAUUCCCCAGUGUAGCGGUGAAAUGCGUAGAUAUUGGGAAGAACACCUGUGGCGAAGGCGCUUUCUGGACAGUAACUGACACUGAGGCACGAAAGCGUGGGGAGCAAACAGGAUUAGAUCCCUGGUAGUCCACGCCGUAAACGAUGAGCACUAGUUGUUGGGUCCGAAUGGAUUCAGUGCGCAGUUAACGCAAUAAGUGCUCCGCCUGGGGAGUACGGUGGCAACACUAAAACUCAAAGAAUUGACGGGGACCCGCACAAGCAGCGGAGCAUGUGGUUUAAUUCGAAGCAACGCGAAAACCUUACCAGGGCUUGACAUCCCUCUGAAAGCUUCCUUAACCGGAAGCCCCCUUCGGGCAGGGUGACAGGUGGUGCAUGGUUGUCGUCAGCUCGUGUCGUGAGAUGUUGGGUUAAGUCCCGAACGAGCGCAACCCUUGUCGUCAGUUACUAACAUUUGGUUGAGGACUCUGGCGAGACUGCGAGGUUAACUCGGAGGAAGGUGGGGAUGACGUCAAAUCAUCAUGCCCCUUAUGUUCUGGGUACACACGUGCUACAAUGGUCGGUACAAUGAGAAGCAAGAUGGCGACAUGGAGCAAAUCACAAAACCGAUCCCAGUUCGGAUUGCAGGCUGCAACUCGCCUGCAUGAAGUCGGAGUUGCUGUAAUCGCGAAUCAGCAUGUCGCGGUGAAUGCGUUCCCGGGUCUUGCACACACCGCCCGU